AGACUCCAACCAGUCUGGUGGGCCCAGCCCCGGAGCGGGUCACACCCAACCUGAAGAGGACAGAGCCACAGAAAGGUUCGCCCAGGGCAAGGACCCAUGGCCUCUCCAUUCCUGGCCGCAGGGACCACCACGGGGGACAGCGGUGGGGAGCUGAGCUCGGGGGCGUCCGCGAGGUGGAUUAGUUGAAGUCCCGAGGCAGAGGCCUGCUGGAGCCUGACCGAGCUGUUGGAGAAUGUAGGGCUGAUUCGCGUGGCCACCAGGGAGCAGCUCGGCUACCUUUACGCCCAGUAAAAGCAGCAGAUCUGUAUGAAACUGAAUUUUCUUCAUAUACUUCAACCAAAGCAACAUAUUGCAGUAGAUUGAAUGCAGAAGUAGAUUUCUGAGACUAUAUUCAGGUCAUAGUUGGAAAUUACAAUACUCCUAAACCAAGCUUCUUUGCUUUUGAAGAAAGGCAAAAAUGGGAAGCAUGGAAAGGCUUUGGUGGUUCAAGCCCGAGCCAAGCAGUGCAGGAGUAUAUUGCAGCAGUUAAAAAGCUAGAUCCAGGCUGGACUCCUCAGGUGCCACGUUGACAACCUGGGCCAGUCCAUGGAAGACUCCCAUGCAAAUGUGUGUCAGAGCAAAGAGUACAUCACUACUACUGGAAGCAACUUAACAUCCCCAAAGUUCAAGACCCGUAAACUUCAUCAAGCCUUUACAAAGUUUGGCCUGAUACUGCAAACACUGUCCAGAAGGAAAUACAACUCACCCAGUGGUUUCUCUCCCUCCUGACAACAUAUGCAAAUGUAGAAACAGCCACUUACUCUUUCAACAUAGGAUAGCUUUUCCACUUUUAUCAAUUCAAGCUUUCUCCAGGCCCCUGUAAGAAUACAUCAGUACUUUGUAGCAGAUGAUGGUUCCAAAAAAAUAGUACCUACAAAGUGUCACUUUUGAACUGUGGCCCAGGGAUCUUCUGCUCCAGUUCCACAGUCAGACUCUCUAGUCCUGCUUUUUCCUUCUUCAUAACUUGGGGCUCUUCUCCUCACUGGGACAAUUUAGAGACACGCUGUUCUUAGUCUUGGAUGUGAUGUUUUAAUAGACUGAUCUCUUGCUCCCUCUUCUUGAGUUUGUCUUUGCCAUCCUCUACUUCUUGAAUGAGGCCAUUCACAGAAGAUUGCAAAAUAACGUAAUUACUUUUGGCCUGGUCAAGGCCUUGAAGCAACUGACACUUCUCAAGCUGAAGAUAAGCUAUUUGAGCACUCAGACACUGUUCUCUGGCCUUCCAGGUCCCCUGGUCAUCACUCAAGGCAGGCUGUUUCUCCUUUAGCUCUUUCAAUUGUGCUUGAAGCUUCUCCUCAACAAUUUUGGAUCCUUCUUUCAGUGUAAUGUUUUUCUGCUAUUGUUUUGCAACUGAUUUUCAAAUGAAGGUUUUAAUAUUUCUAAUUCAGAUACUCACCCUGUUCUUUAUGUAAAUCUUUUGUCAGAUUUUCUUUUUUUGACUAUAUGUUGCCAAGAUCUUUUUCCAGAUCUCUAAGACUUGAGGCUAUCUCCUCCAUUUUUGCUUUUAUCUUCUUUACCCCUGCUUUGGUGUUCUCUGCCUCCUGAGUCACAUGCUCAUGGGUUUUUUUGGACUUCUUUAGUUCUUUUUCAAGGUUCUCAACCCUAUCCCUGUACACAUCUGCGUGCUGCUUAGUUUCAUGCAGUUUUCCUAAGACUUGUAUCUGCUUCUUCUCAUCAUCAUCUAUUUGGACUUUCAGCAUUUUGAUGUUAUUUCUCACCUAGUGCACUCCCUGCAUUGGGAAGCCCAGGCUCUGUUCCUGGAUCUUCUUGGUUCCUGGGUCCUCACACAAAGCUGCCACCUCCUUCAUCAGCUCUUUCAAUUUUGUUUUAAGCAUUUUCCACUGCAGCUUUAGAUUCUUCUUGCAUCUGCCUAUUUUCUUCUUUGCUUCCAAGAGAUAUUUAAGUGAAGAGAGUAACAUGUCCAAUUCAGACACUUUACCCUGUUUGCCUUAUAGUUGCUGGGUCAGAUUUUCUUUUUCAGACAUAAUCGUGACAAGGUCCAAUUCUAAAACUUUCACGUGUUUGGUUAUUGAUCCUAUUGUGUUUUUAGGGUCUCCACCACUGCUUUAGAAUACUGGGCAUGAAGAAUCACCAUCUCUUGGAUUUUUCCAGCCAUCUGCAAUUGGCUUUCAAGUUUCUGAACUUUAUCCUGAAAUGAAUUAUUCUUACUCUCAUUUUCUUUCAGUUUCUCCAAGAUGUUCUUCUCAUCAGCCUACAUGCUGACCCUCAGUGUCUCCAUGGCAUUUCUCAGCUGAUGCUGCUCAUCUUGCACUGAGCUCAGCCUCACAGAGACCUUGCCCUUUUCCAUUCUUGCAGCCUGCAAUGCUUUAGUGACAGUCAUCUUUUCCUCUUCCGAUUCAUGUAACUUGUUCCACAGGCUUUUGGAUUCCCUCACAAGUGCUUCUCUCAUUAUUCAACUGUCCAAGUUUGUUUUUCAGUUCAUUUUCCCCCAAAGACAGUGCCUGUGAGUCCUUUUCCAAAUUCUGCAGCUGCUCCUGGAGGUGGACUUUUUCUUUUAACAGCUCUCUUACAGCAGAGGACAAAGUCUGGAGGAGCUGUGUCUUUUCCUUCAGCUCAGCUUCCACCAUGUCAAUGUGAUAAAGACACUCCUUGAUGAAACUCCAGCUCUCGUAUUUUCUCCUUCAUGUUUUUAGACAUCAGGUGCAUUAUUUUCCAUUGACAAAGCAUCUAACUCUCCAUGAAGCUGGUUUCUUUCACUUGUGACAACAGAGAAUUUUCCUAAAGACAAUUUAUGACUCCCUGCUUGUUUUCAUUGUCUUUUUCUAAAAGUAGCUUCUCUGAACUAUCGCUAAGUCAGUUUCCACAGAGUAGGAACAGUGCUCGAUGCUGCCUUUCUCAGACUUGAUCCUCUCCAGCUCAUUUUCCACAUUGAGAAAUUUUCUCUCUCCAAUUUUCAUUCAUUAUCUCAGCUACAUUAUCUUCAGUAACUUCAGGUGACAAUUUAGCUGUGCCAUUUCUAAACUAGAGUUUAUGCCUGCUGAAAUUUCACCUCUCUCGUGGAACUCUGGGUUAUCACAAGGAAAGCAUUCCAGUUUUCUCAUUAAAUCUGUCUUAUUCUUUCUAAAGUUCCUCAACUGUUUUUCCCCAAUUCUCUGCAUGUUUCAAUCUUGGUAGUUAGUUGUGCUUCCUGUAAAUUGGGUUUUGAGUCUAACUCUUUCAUUUCACUUAGCAAAAUUUCAACAUUUUUGUCACGUUCCUCUAUGGUGUGAAGUAAUCUCAAAUUCUCAUUUGAUGUCUCUUUUACCUUCAGUUAGAGAGUCUGAAUGGUUACCUGAGUCUCUAGAAAAUUCACAGGUACCAGAGCAUUAGGACCAGAAAGUGACGAUUCAAGAAUGCACCCUGCCAAGUCUUGGGCUUUUUCUUUCACUAGGGAAUCAGAACUGAUUUCUGGAGACUGCUCCUGAGAACCUUCUCCCACCAGCAUGACUGCCUCAGUCUUGGUCACUUUCUCCAUAUCUGGGCUGAGAUCUGCUGGACAUCUCUUUCACAGAUUGGAUGAAGAUCCUGCUUGGAUGUUCUGUCUUUGCUUUCCAAAGCAUUUUCUUCUGAUCUGUUUGUGUCACAGCUGUCACUUCUUCCCUGGAGAACCUGUGGCUGUAAUAUAUAAUGAGAAUGCAUUUCAAUAUUGAGGGAGAAUCAGGAAAGAUCCAAUAGGCUUAAUUCUUGCUUUGUAGACACUGGAUUCUUGCCUCUACUACACACAUCCUUUCCAAUGACAUAUUUCCUAUGACAUUCUCUCCUCUCCAUCCCAAUGUCAACACAGUUAAACAAACAUUCAGGGGGUAUCCUGUCUGGCCAAGGCAGUGGCAAAAGUGUUUGUCAUGAAGACAGACCCUCUAGUUGUAUGAUUGUCCACACUGGCAUGCACUUAAAUUUCAAUGUUUUUUUCUUUCUAGGAACAGUCCAGGUAGCCUAAAUAUAAGUUUUCCUUUGUGAUUAUCAGACAUGAUGCUAACCAAUUCCACAUAGAAUGCUCAGCCUCCAUGUUAGCAUUUCUGGUAUUCUUUAAUAGGAGACGGUAGUGAGGUGUUACGACUAGAUUGUCAGCCCAAGGACUUAAGCCUACAUUUACUAUCUGGAUUCUCAGAGAAACUGUAUGUCUGGACAUCACCUUCCUGUCCUCUGUCAAACAUGGGUCAGCUGCUGUGACUACCCCUACUGCCUCCUCUCUACUUGUCAUUUGCAUCAUACGAUGGCAGGUAGAGGGAAUGAAGCAAGACACUUCAACUCUGCAACAUUAGUACUUUAGCUGGUAGACUACAAGGACAAAGUCAUAAGUAACUCUUGGGGACUGCCCUGCCUGGUUUCAGGAACUGAAACCCACCAUGGCUAAGGCUGAAUGAGGGACUUUCGGACCAUAAGCCACUAAGGAGACAAAGCUUAUCUCCCUGGCAAGAGUGCCACUUCUUCUUUUUCCAUAACUGGCCUCCAAUGCUUUAAUCAGUUAGCCUGUGAUGGGUAAGAUUCCCCAAGGGGGAAAUCACCUAAGACAGGCAUGAUCAUGUGAAGGCCCCAGGGAAGUACUUAGAGGGCUAUGGAGGAAGGGAGUGAUGGACCCUUACCCCCCAGCUUUGAAGUCUGAGUCCUCUGUCUUCGAGGAAUCUCUGGGAAUUCUUUGGCUAUCUGCCUCCUCUGCCUGACUUAAGCCUGAAAACAAUGACAGAGGGUGGUGCAGCCUUGUGCUGGGAAUGGUGAGGUCCCUAGAUGAUCUGGCAUGAGAAAGAAUUCCUAACAAUCCUGUGAAGCCUGCUUUGCUUAGACUGCUUUUAGUUAAAUGAUAAAGGCCUGAGCAAAAAGUGAGUUUAUGUUCCCAAAGUUCUGUAGCCUUUUAGCUGAUAGACCCUAACUUAGGAGAAGCCCUAAUGGUUCUUUGUAUACUGUCUACUGUUUACUGCCUGACAAUGAUUGAUAAGUUGUGCCUGAACUCCUGUGCAAAAAAAAACAAAAACAAAAAAAAACAAUAAGAGACUGUCUAGGCAAGGGUCAGUGCUCUCUCUCCCUUUGAGAGAGUUGCCAGGUUGCUCCAAGCUGCUCUCCCCUUGAGUGGGUGACCAGGCCAUUCUGAGGUUCUCCCCCCUUGAGGGAGUGGCCAUGCCGUCCCUUUUCCUCCACAGGACUCAGUAGUCCCUGUGAAUUUGUCUCAUGUCUCAUCCAUGAUGCCACGGGCACUGUGAGCCAGUGCACGUCUCAAGCAACUAAGCAAUUUCACAUUCAAUAAAGAAAUAAAUGCCUUUUUAAACAACUGAUAUCAAAUCACAGAUUUGGAUCAGGGUAAAUGGUGAGGAAACAAUUUGGUAAUCUGUAAUAAACUCUUACAUUUGUUUCAUGGCUGUAACUCUGUAACAUUAAAAAUAGCUGGAAAGUUCUAGAGAUAUUAACAUUCACAUCACAUUCCCAUUCCUAAGCUCUAAUGGAAUAUGUAAGUGUGCUUUAUUAACUCACAAAGAAUAAAAACAUACAAUAUAGACUUCCUGAAGACAACUCUUCUGACUCCAUAAUAUAAUUUUG